AGUGAACGCUGGCGGUGCGCCUAAAAACAUGCAAGUCGAGUGGGUUUAGACCCACGGCGAACGGCUGAGUAACACAUGGGUACCUCCCUCGAACUCGGGGAUAUUCCACCGAAAGGUGGCGUAAUACCGGAUAGUCCCGCAAGGGUAAAGAUUUAUCGGUUCGAGAGGGGCCUGUGCCCUAUCAGGUAGUUGGUAAGGUAACGGCUUACCAAGCCUAUGACGGGUAGCUGGUCUGAGAGGACGACCAGCCAGAAUGGGACUGAGACACGGCCCAUACUCCUACGGGAGGCAGCAGUUAGGAAUCUUCCGCAAUGGGCGAAAAGCCUGACGGAGCGACACCGCGUGAAGGAUGAAGCCCUUUUCUGGGUGUAAACUUCUGUUCUGAGGGAAGAAAUUUUGACGGUACCUCAGGAGAAAGCACCGGCUAAUUCUGUG
rnacentral:rRNA from 1 species